UCCCUCUCACCAAAGGCCCGGAUCAGCUCUGCCCGCACAGCUGCAGUGAAGGUCUUCACCAGACAGAGUGUGGUGAGGCCUGCAAAGGCUGCGUUGUAGAGGAACACAAUGUAGAAAUUGCCCAGCCAGUUGAAGCGUCCAAAGUCACCCAGCAGGUCAAAGCGAGAGAGAAGACAGGAAGUGCUGAGCUUAGGACCAGGAGACAGACACAGUUCCCAAUUAUCUG
rnacentral:lncRNA from 1 species